rnacentral:rRNA from 1 species
CCUACGGGAGGCAGCAGUGGGGAAUCUUGGGCAAUGGGCGAAAGCCUGAUCCAGCGACGCCGCGUGGGGGAUGAAGCCCUUCGGGGUGUAAACCCCUGUUGCGAGGGAGGAAUAAGGCCUGGAGGAAAUGCCAGGCCGAUGACUGUACCUCGCGAGGAAGCCCCGGCUAACUACGUGCCAGCAGCCGCGGUAAUACGUAGGGGGCGAGCGUUACCCGGAUUCACUGGGCGUAAAGCGGGUGUAGGCGGCUCGGUAAAUCGGGUGUGAAAUCCCACAGCUCAACUGUGGAAUUGCGCCCGAAACUGCUGAGCUUGGGGCCGGUAGAGGGAGACGGAACUGCCGGUGUAGGGGUGAAAUCCGUAGAUAUCGGCAGGAACGCCGGUGGGGAAGCCGGUCUCCUGGGCCGCGCCCGACGCUGAGACCCGAAAGCUAGGGGAGCAAACC